CAGCCCAGCCUCGGGACGGGCUGUGCCACGCUGAUGCUGCUGUGCCGAGCGGGAAAAGGAUCCAGAGCCGGAGCGAUGGAGGGGGGAGAGCCCUGCGGUUCCUGCCCUGCUUGGGAGAGGUUUAUGUGGCCAUCGGAGCCUCAUCAGUUGUAACCUCUCAGGGGAUGAUCCAGGGUUCUCCUGCUUUAGCCAGAGCUGGAGCAGCGAGCGCUAACUGCUGCCUAUUAGGAAUAGCUAUCACAUCUAAUUGUUACCCUCGCUGCUGAUUGAGGGGGGAAGUGGAGGGAUGGGAAGUUCAGCCGGGUGACAUGAUGCAGUUUUAAUGAGUCUCUCUUUUUCUUUCCCUUUUCUUCUUCCAUUGUUUUUUUUCCCCCCGGCCUGGCUGUUUUAAUAUGGAAAUAUAGUAAAUUCCAGCAAAAUCAGGCUGGCACGCAGAGCACAGACCGAAGGCAAACCUCCAGGAGGCUUUCAGCAGUGGCUGGGCAGCAAUAGCAAUACAGAAGCAAUUAGUUCCUUAAGUUCUUUAGUGCAGGGCCUUUGGAAGGGGGUGGACACUAGAUUAAGCCCUGCUUCAUUUGCCUAUUUAUUCAGCUGUCAGAAGGCUGAAAGGGUUAAAUCGUGUGUUGGAGCAGAAAGCGUCCCCAGAGCCCCCUCCCGAGUGACCGUCCCCGGCAGACAGCGCUGGCUCCACCGCAGCACCGCCGCUCGCUGCAGCCUGACCUCACGCAUUAAACAGUUAAAAAUGUACUUUUUCCCCUCUCCCAGCAGAUGCAGAGCUGCGAGGUGGGGCGCCAGCACAACCUGACUCAGCAAAGGCUCCUGAUGCCAGCGCAGCCCCAUCGGUGCUGGAAUUCACCCCAACAGAGGCGAGCGGAGCCCGGGGCUGCUCCCAAAGCCAAACACACGCUCUGCAGAAUUAGCCCCAGUUUAGAAAAAGAGGAUUUCUGAGCUGGGGUGCAUAUCUGACACCGGGAGAGGCUGGUACACAGCGACGGACUCUCUGUCUCUAAAUAAUGGAGAGAUUAAGCUCUACACUGGGAUCUGCUUGUUCCUACUGAAAUUGAUGGAAGUUCUCCUUCACAGCUGAUUGCAGUGGGGAAAAAUGGAUCCAGCUUAUGCAGAAUAAUGACAGCAAGGGGAAUGGGGUGUUGAUGAUGACACAAGGAGAGAGAAGAAAUAAAUCUCACUGGGACAGUGUGGACAGGAGUGCCUGUUUGCCCUGGGAAGAAUUGGAAGAAGAAGAAGAAAAGAAGUGGAUCGCUGCGGUACAUUAAUUGUACAAGAACUGCAAAAUGGCUGAAAACAGAGGGAUGGUAUUUAUAAAGCUGUCUAGUUUUGAAAAGAUCAAAGGCAGAGGCAGAGAAAUAAUCCAUUGGACGUGUCUAAUUGCAAAGCGCAUAUUGUAAAAAAAAAAAAAAAAAAAAAAAUUA